UAUGAUGAAUGGUGGUUGUCAUACCUCAUUGCAGAUCUGAUCUAGUUUAGCAAUGCAUGUAUGCAUCACAUGAUCAUCCUAACACAAUCAGGUUCUGCUGUCCCUGUCAACCCACCCAUCCACUCCAUCCUCAUCUUAGUUGAGAUGUUGAAGAAGCUGCGAUCCUGACAACUUUUCGGUACAUGGAUCUUCUCUUGCUUCACGAUACGGAUAUUCAUGUAGAACUCCUUUAAGAUUGAAGAAAAAUAAUGAAGAUGAUGGAAACAACAAAACAGUAGGCCAUGGCGCCCAUGCUGCUUCUAGAGCUGGAAUUCCGGCAUCAUCUGGUAACAAGUGGAGAAGGAUUUAGUGUUUGUGGAUUUAGAGGGAAGGGCAACAGAGAGAGUGUCGUUCCGUCACGGAGUUCAGCAUUUGGAGCUCGGAGCAAAGCAAUGAAGAUCCUGUUCCAGUGUCCUUGCUGCUCCUGCUUCUGCUUUUUGACCAAAGAUAGCAAAUCCAAGGAGACUGAAGCGAAGGAUGAUUGAAAUAAUGAGUGAGUUUCUACUGCUGUCUAUAUUUAGAAGAACUAAUGCGUAGCAGUGCUCUAUUCUAUGUACUCGAUCUCCAUUGAGACCUCGUGAAUUAGUCAUUCUCCUUGCAAAUAAAGUUUACAAACUAUGAGCUGUUAAUUUCGAAUUCAUUGCAAAUAAAGUUUACAGACCGAUAUUUAUUGGAAUUU